rnacentral:rRNA from 1 species
UACGGGGGGAGCAAGCGUUGUUCGGAUUUACUGGGCGUAAAGGGCGCGUAGGCGGCCUGUGCAAGUCAGUUGUGAAAUCUCCGAGCUUAACUCGGAACGGUCAACUGAUACUGCUCGGCUAGAGUGCGGAAGGGGCAACUGGAAUUCUCGGUGUAGCGGUGAAAUGCGUAGAUAUCGAGAGGAACACCUGCGGCGAAGGCGGGUAGCUGGGCCGACACUGACGCUGAGGCGCGAAAGCCAGGGGAGCGAACGGG